rnacentral:rRNA from 1 species
GCUUAACGCGAAGAACCUUACCUACUCUUGACAUCCAGAGAACUUAGCAGAGAUGCUUUGGUGCCUUCGGGAACUCUGAGACAGGUGCUGCAUGGCUGUCGUCAGCUCGUGUUGUGAAAUGUUGGGUUAAGUCCCGCAACGAGCGCAACCCUUAUCCUUUGUUGCCAGCGGUUAGGCCGGGAACUCAAAGGAGACUGCCAGUGAUAAACUGGAGGAAGGUGGGGAUGACGUCAAGUCAUCAUGGCCCUUACGAGUAGGGCUACACACGUGCUACAAUGGCGCAUACAAAGAGAAGCGACCUCGCGAGAGCAAGCGGACCUCAUAAAGUGCGUCGUAGUCCGGACUGGAGUCUGCAACUCGGCUCCAUGAAGUCGGAAUCGCUAGUAAUCGUAGAUCAGAAUGCUACGGUGAAUACGUUCCCGGGUCUUGUACACACCG